AUUCCAGGUAAAGGAGGCAACAAGCAAGACUGCUAUAAAGCAGAAGUUCUGGUGUAUUCAAUAAACAGUAGCAUGAUUUGGGUAACUGGAGUCAGUGAGCAAGAGGGAGAGAAGCAACACAUUAAGUCACAGAGAUUAAAAAUGUGGUGGGGAUUAGAACAUGUAGGCCAUUCAAAGGGCUUGGCUUUUCCUCUAAGAAAGGUGAGAGCCAGUGGAGGGUUUUUUAAAAUUGAAUGACAUAAUCUGAUGUUUUACAAGGAUCAUGUUUUACAAAGAUCUGGCUUUUAUACUGAGAGUAGACCAUAAGAGUAAGAAAUGUCUUAUUCAUUUUGGUACCCCAAAUAAUCAAAACAGUAUGUGGUAUGUAGUAAGUCUAAUAAAUAUCAAAAGCUUUAUAAUUUUUCUGAACAGUCCAACUUUAGACCACUUAGCAACACUACCAUGUGGCAGAAUAGUCCAACUUUAAAAUGACUUAUUUAGAUAAUCAAGAGACAGGUUGAGCAUCCCUAAUCUGAAAAAUCUAAAACCUGAAAUAUUCUAAAAUCCAAAACAUUUUUAGCAUGAACAUUAUGCCACAAAUGGAAAAUUCCAUGUCAUUAAACUGUAUUUCAUGCACAAAAUUAUUAAAAAUAUUGAAGGGCUGGGGGUUGUAUCUUAGUGGUAGAGUACAUGUUAAGCAUGCACAAGGUCCUGGGUUCAAUAACCAGCACCACCAAAAAUGUUAUAUAUGGGGAGGGUGUGAAAAUUACCUUCAGACUAUAUAAUAAUAGGGUAUAUGUGAAACACAAAUUGAUUUUAUGUUCAGGUUUGUUUUCCAUCCCCAAGAUAAUCUCAUAUAUAUGCAAAUGUUCAAAACACUUCUGGUCCCAAGCAUUUCUGAUAAGGGAUAUUCAACCUAUGCUUAAAUAUGGAUUAGGUACUAGAUGAUAUAAAUGGUAUUUUUUAGGUGUGAUGAUGACACGGUAGUUAUAUUUAAAAGAGGGCAUAUCAAUUGGAGAUUUAUAUAUAUAUUUACUGAUAAAAUAAUAGUGUCUAGAUCUUGAUUUAAAUAUUCCACCAAAAAUGAAUAAAAAUAAAAGGAUUGAUGAUACAAGAUUGUUGAAAUGUUGAUAAUUGUUAAAGCAGGUGACAGAUGUAUGUGAUUGAUUAUAUUAUUAUUUGGGGCUUAUUCAUUCACUGGCAUAAUGAUUAUAAGCUUUUUUAUAUUCAUUCACAUUUUUUAUAUAUUGGAUAUGUCUAUAAUAAAGUUUUACAAAAAUUUUUAUGAUCUCAGUCUCUCCCUCC
rnacentral:lncRNA from 1 species